rnacentral:RNase_P_RNA from 1 species
CGAGCUGGCCAGGCAGCCGCUGGCGGUCGGCGCUUGCGCCUUGGCCGCGAGAGGAAAGUCCGGGCUCCAAAGGACAGGGCGCCAGGUAACUCCUGGGAAGCGUGAGCUUACGGAAAGUGCAGCAGAGAGCAGACCGCCUCGAGGCCGGCGCCUAGGCGCCAACGGCUUCGCGGUAAGGGUGAAAGGGUGCGGUAAGAGCGCACCGCACGGGUGGCAACACCGGUGGCUAGGCAAACCCCGCCCGGAGCAAGGCCAAAUAGGAAUCCCAAGGUAUGGUCCGUACCGGAUUCGGGUAGGCCGCUGGAGGCCGUCGGUGACGGCGGCCCUAGAUGAAUGGCUGCCCGCCGGAACCGUCCGGCGACAGAACCCGGCUUAUCGGCCAGCUCGCUCU